rnacentral:misc_RNA from 1 species
AAGGAUUUAAGUAUGAAGGAUUUAUUUAACAAACACUUAGUCCCUAAGGGGAAAGCCUUGUGAAAAUAUUAGCCAUUAGAUACUGAGGAAAAAAAAAAGUUCAUUGCACAUGCAUUGGAGUGCUUAGGCUGUUAACCAGAUAUAGGUGAACCCUUAAGAAUCCUAGAAUUGUAGCCAAUAACUGCUGUAUGCUUUUGAUUUUCAUUAUGUUUACUCUGGCUAUUUAGAUGGUACGUGUUCUUGUAGACUAAAAUGGAGAUUGUUUAGAAUCUU